CAAAAAACAUAAGGAGGC
rnacentral:snRNA from 1 species